AACGAACGCUGGCGGCAUGCCUAACACCUGCAAGUCGAACGAGAUCUUCGGGUCUAGUGGCGCACGGGUGCGUAACGCGUGGGAAUCUGCCCUUUGGUUCGGAAUAACAGUUGGAAACGACUGCUAAUACCGGAUGAUGACGAAAGUCCAAAGAUUUAUCGCCAGAGGAUGAGCCCGCGUAGGAUUAGCUAGUUGGUGUGGUAAAGGCGCACCAAGGCGACGAUCCUUAGCUGGUCUGAGAGGAUGAUCAGCCACACUGGGACUGAGACACGGCCCAGACUCCUACGGGAGGCAGCAGUGGGGAAUAUUGGACAAUGGGCGAAAGCCUGAUCCAGCAAUGCCGCGUGAGUGAUGAAGGCCUUAGGGUUGUAAAGCUCUUUUACCCGGGAUGAUAAUGACAGUACCGGGAGAGUAAGCUCCGGCUAACUCCGUGCCAGCCGCCGCAGUAA
rnacentral:rRNA from 1 species